AAUUCUCAACCAUCCUUUGAUUUAUUUCGAGGGGUGGCUUGGAUUUUGGGAGUUGCUGGCUUGACCCCCCGUCGUGGGGGACGGGUCGGCUCUCCUUAAAAGCAUUAGCGAAAGGUGGCAAGCCCCUGCAUGCACGGCCUUUGACGUGAUAAUGAUCGUCGUGGCUGGAGUGCGAGGCGUAGAUCCGACCUUUGCUUCUAAACCUCGGUACUUUGGGGACUUUGCUUCGGCAGACGAACCUUUUUGCCCUCUUUGA
rnacentral:misc_RNA from 1 species